rnacentral:tRNA from 1 species
UGUGGUGUAGCUCAGUGGUAGAGUGCUUACCUAGCAUUCUUAAGGUCCUGGGUUCCAUCCCCAGCAUUACCA